GUGGGAGGGGGCUUGCUCCCGAUGGCGGAGUGUCAGCCAACUUCUGAUUGACUGGCCCACUGCUAUCGGGGGCAAGCCCCCUCCCAC
rnacentral:misc_RNA from 1 species